rnacentral:tRNA from 1 species
UCCCUGGUGGUUCAGUGGUUAGGACUCUGCACAUUCACUGCUGAGAAUGUGGGUUCAAAUCCUGGUCAGGAAA